rfam:Gossypium hirsutum cultivar TM-1 unplaced genomic scaffold scaffold26.1, whole genome shotgun sequence
GUGCGAUCGAGAUAUUGGUGCGGUUCAAUCAGAUAGAACUUCACUCUUUAAAAAAAAAAAGGAAACAAUAGAGUUGUGUUUUAUUUGAUUGAGCCGUGCCAAUAUCACGCACAGUAAC